rnacentral:rRNA from 1 species
CCUACGGGAGGCAGCAGUGGGGGAUAUUGCACAAUGGGCGCAACCCUGAUGCAGCGACGCCGCGUGCACGAUGAAGGGCCUCGGCGCGUAAAGCCCUGUCAGCAGGGAAGAAAAUGACGAUACCUGAAUAAGAGUCCCCGUAUAAUAACGUGCCAGCAGGCGCGGUAAUACGUUGGGUGCAAGGGUUAUCCGGAUUUACUGGGUGUAAAGGGGUCGCAGACGGUGUUGCAAGCCAGGGGUGAAAGCCCGGGGCUCAACCCCGGGACUGCUUUUGGAACUGUGUGGCUGGAGUGUAGGAGGGGUAGGCGGAAUGCCUGGUGUAGCGGUGAAAUGCGUAGAGAUCAGGAGGAACACCGAUGGCGAAGGCGGCUUGCUGGACUGCAACUGACGUUGAGGCACGAAAGCGUGGGGAGCAAACAGGAUUAGAUACCCGUGUAGUC